rnacentral:rRNA from 1 species
UACGUAGGGUGCGAGCGUUAAUCGGAAUUACUGGGCGUAAAGCGUGCGCAGGCGGUGAUGUAAGACAGAUGUGAAAUCCCCGGGCUCAACCUGGGAACUGCAUUUGUGACUGCAUCGCUGGAGUGCGGCAGAGGGGGAUGGAAUUCCUGGUGUAGCAGUGAAAUGCGUAGAUAUCAGGAGGAACACCGAUGGCGAAGGCGGCGACCUGGUCCGAUACUGACGCUGAGGCGCGAAAGCGUGGGGAGCAAACAGG